rnacentral:rRNA from 1 species
UACGGAGGGUGCAAGCGUUAAUCGGAAUUACUAGGCGUAAAGGGUGCGUAGGUGGUUGACUAAGUUAUCUGUAAAAUCCCUGGGCUUAACCUGGGCAUGUCAGAUAAGACUGGUGAACUCGAGUAUGGGAGAGGGCAGUGGAAUUUCCGGUGUAGCGGUGAAAUGCGUAGAGAUCGGAAGGAACACCAGUGGCGAAGGCGGCUGCCUGGCCUAAUACUGACACUGAGGCACGAAAGCGUGGGGAGCAAACAGG